CUGUUAUCCCCACGGUAACUUGUUUGUGAUUCUAAAUAGGAUUGGAUUAGUAUGAAAAUUUAAAAAGAUUUAGUUUUUAUGCCACCCCAGCUAAAAUGUGAAUUAAAGUUCGAUGGGGUCUUGUCGUCUUCUCUGAAAUUUAAGUCUUUUUACUUAAAUGAGAAUUUAGAGAAAUUGUAAUAAUAAAAGAUCUAACUCGUUAAUCCUUUCAUUCUAGCCUUUAAUUAAAAGGCAAGUGAUUAUGCUACCUUAGCACAAAAUUUGCGGCUAUUUAAGUCAUUGAGCAGGAUAUACUAGUUG
rnacentral:rRNA from 2 species